ensembl:lncRNA
AAUAUAGUUAAAGUAUACAUCAAUAUAUUUUAUAACUUUUUUCUGACAUUUAUUGAUCAAAAUACAGUCUUUGUAAAUGGAUUUCCAAAAGUAGAAAUGGUUACAAAUAAUAACAUUUUACUAAAACUCUCCUGUCUCUGUGUCAGUUUAAUGGUGUCAUCAUUUCAGUUUGGGUCUGUUGUGUUGAGGGUUUGGUAGGUGGAGUCUUGGGUUGUUGUGUUGAGGGUUUGGCAGGUGGAGUCUUGGGUUGCUGUGUUGAGGGUUUGGUAGGUGGAGUCUUGGGUUGUUGUGUUGAGGGUUUGGUAGGUGGAGUCUUGGGUUGCUGUGUUGAGGGUUUGGUAGGUGGAGUCUUGGGUUGCUAUGUUGAGGGUUUGGUAGGUGGAGUCUUGGGUUGCUAUGUUGAGGGUUUGGUAGGAGGAGUCUUGGGUUGUUGUGUCUGGAUUGGUGACUGGCCCUGUGGAACACAACAUAUAAAUCAUGUGUGUGUACGUGCAGUGGUGUGGUAGUGGUGUAGUAGUGUAGUGGUGUAGUAGUGUAGUAGUGUAGUGCUGUAGUAGUGUAGUAGAGGUGUAGUAGAGGUGUAGUGGUGUAGUGUAGUGUAGUGUUGUAGUAGUGUAUUAGAGGUGUAGUAGUGUAGUG